rnacentral:tRNA from 1 species
GGGGCGUUUCAAUGGUGUUGACGCGCAAGCCGACACCUUGCCGCGCCGCGAGUUCGAUCCUCGCACGCUCCA